UUGACAUUUUACGAAUAACAACAGACUGCUACCAAAUCCAGUGGGCGCCCAUUUACUCUGUCUUUAAUCCCCAACAAAUUCUCGCAAUUCUCUCCGUAGACUUUUAAACCCAUGCGAAAUUUUGCGUUGAUUUCAAUUCAAUUUCUCCACAAUUUUUUUUUUGAUUUCUUCUUCUUCCCGGCCAAACACUUCAUUCCCUUGCAAAGAAACUACCAUACACACUCCCUCUCUCUCUCUCUCGAUGAAAUCUUGUAAAUUCAUCGUCCUUUUCUUUUGUUUCCUCGUAAUUUUCCCUCGUUUUUCCUUUUCUGCCGUUCAAAUCCCCAGAUGGGUCGGUGAAAACAGAAUAUUGAAAAAAGGUGUAUUUUCUAAUGCGUUUGAUCCCACUGGAGUAACUCAACUAUCUUGGCAUCCCAGGGCUUUCAUUUACGAGGGAUUUUUAUCAAAUGACGAGUGUGAUCAUCUAAUAAAUUUGGCUAGGGAUAAGCUUGAGAAAUC
rnacentral:misc_RNA from 1 species